rnacentral:rRNA from 1 species
AGUGAACGCUGGCGGUAGGCCUAACACAUGCAAGUCGAACGGUAGCAGAGUAAGAUCUUCUUCUUACGGGUUGCGAGUCGGGGGCGUGUGAGGUAUAUAACGUACUCUACUUUUUCGGGGGGGAAAUCGUAGGGAAAGUUACUAUCACACCACAUACGACCUAGGGGUGAAAGCAGGUGAUCUUCGCACCUUGCUCGCUUGAAUGAGCAGAUGUGGGAUUAGCGAGUUGGCGGGGUAAAGGCCCACCAAGGCGACGAUCCAUAUCUGGUCUGAGAGGAUGAUCAGCCACACUGGAACUGAGACACGCUCCAGACUCCUACGGGAGGCAGCAGUGGGGAAUAUUGGACAAUGGGCGCAAGCCUGCUGCAGCCAUACCGCGUGGGUGAAGAAGGCCUUCGGGUUGUAAAGUCCUUUUGUUGGGAAGGAAGAGCGUCAGGUUAAUACCUUCACGUUCUGACGGUACCCAAAGAAUAAGCACCGGCUAACUUCGUG